rnacentral:lncRNA from 1 species
GGCAAAUUCCCGACUAGGGUUUUGCCUUUUAACUUGUUAUCUCAAAACCUUCUUCACUUCCUCUUCUGUUCGAGCCUCAAGAGAGAGAGAGAGAGAGAGACAGAGAGAGAGAGAGGGGUUCCGAAGAUGGUGCAGCGACUCACUUACCGGAAGCGCCACAGCUAUGCCACCAAAUCCAACCAGCACCGUGUCGUCAAAACCCCUGGUACAAUAAAAACCAUCAUUAAUAUUAAUGUCUUUAAUUUGAUUCUUGUUGAUUCAUUCAAUUUUAAGUAUGAAUUAGUAUUUCAAUGAAUUGAACCGAUCAGGAAAAAAGAAAUGGGCCGAUUUGAGCGGAAUGGAUAUAGACUUUAUAAAGAGUCGAUUAUAACUAAUUGGGGAUUGAGACGUAGUUGAUUGAUUGAUUGAUUUAUUGUACAGGUGGGAAGCUGAUUUACCAGAGUACCAAGAAGCGGGCUAGUGGUCCUAAGUGUCCUGUAACUGGAAAGAGGAUUCAGGGGGUAAUGUCAUCUUUUUUUUUGUCUCAUACUCUUAUUCUGCAUUUCUAUAUGCGUUACCGGAGAGCUAAAUCUGUGCUAUUUAUAUCUAAAUUCGUAAGAUAUAUAUUUUCCAGAGUUGUGCUUUGCAUAUAUCAUGUUUGUUUAAGUCGUUGAUACCUCUAGGAAUAGAAUUGCCUUCUGCUACAUAUUGUUCACCAUGUAUUUCUUGUUCUGCAGCUCUACCAUUAUGUGCUUCACAGCAAUCAAUUUGGUCAUGUUUCUGUGAUUGGAGCUUCAUUUACAAUUUUGUUAGAAAUUAGUGUUGGUUCUGAUUUGUAGUGUACAUGAUCCACUUUGCAUUAUCUGAUAUCCUAGAUGUUGAUCUUAAACGUUUCUGAAAUACCUGAUUAUGGCUAGUCUUUUUUCUUUUUGAGAAAAAUUAUGGUUAGCCAUAUUCAAUAUGGUCUUUUUUGUGUUUACCGUUUCUUACUCAGAGUGAAGCAUCUCUUGGUAUUGCAUAAGCAUAUGCUGAUUCAUUUUUUCAUUUUUACCAUUAUUAAAAUAGUGGAGGUGAAGUUUUUAAAAUAAGUAAAUAAUUUUAUUACUGUUGGUAGUAAAUCUUGUAUACAAGGUGAACUCUAGAUACUGAUUCCACAGUCAGAUUAUCUUAGUUAUGUUGUAUAUUGAGAUAGCUAUCUUUAAACUGUGCUAUUGGAGUGAGUAGAGUCAGCUUGUAUUAUUUGAAUUCUCCCAUCUCUGACUAAAAUCCUCUUCAUUAAGCCAUAGACAAGAUUGCUUCUUCUAGUUUCUAGAAUUAGGAAAGAAGAAUCAGGCUUUGACAUUUUAAAUAUAUCUCUUAUUUGAAUUUUUAUUAUAUUCUCCUUUACAGAUCCCCUUUAGUAGAAACUGAAGCAUCAUAAGAAUUGCUAAUGCCAACUUUAGCUUUUCUGGUGCUUCUUUGAAUGAAUAAUUGUAAAGAUGUUGGGUAUUACCUAGAUGUUUUUUAGCCCUGCUGAUGGUUAUAAUACUCUUUCCCUUUUAUUUGGUGUGUAAACUCUUAUUGUCAUGUAAUUCAUUGGUCUCAGUGUUUUAUUGAUUUAUCUUAGUUAAUUAAUUGAAGCAUUUAGUGCAAUCUAAUAACCUCAAAUCUUGCUGUCCUGCAGAUUCCUCACUUGAGACCAGCCGAGUAUAAGAGAUCCAGAUUAUCUAG